GAACGCUGGCGGCGUGCUUAACACAUGCAAGUCGAACGGUGAAAGAGAGCUUGCUCUCUGGAUCAGUGGCGAACGGGUGAGUAACACGUGAGUAACCUGCCCCAGACUCUGGAAUAACCCCGGGAAACCGGAGCUAAUACCGGAUACGAGACGGAGAGGCAUCUCUACCGUCUGGAAAGUUUUUCGGUCUGGGAUGGACUCGCGGCCUAUCAGCUUGUUGGUGAGGUGAUGGCUCACCAAGGCGACGACGGGUAGCCGGCCUGAGAGGGCGACCGGCCACACUGGGACUGAGACACGGCCCAGACUCCUACGGGAGGCAGCAGUGGGGAAUAUUGCACAAUGGGCGAAAGCCUGAUGCAGCGACGCCGCGUGAGGGAUGACGGCCUUCGGGUUGUAAACCUCUUUCAGUAGGGAAGAAGCGAAAGUGACGGUACCUACAAAAGAAGCACCGGCUAACUACGUG
rnacentral:rRNA from 1 species